rnacentral:rRNA from 1 species
CCUACGGGUGGCAGCAGUGGGGAAUAUUGGACAAUGGGCGAAAGCCUGAUCCAGCCAUGCCGCGUGUGUGAAGAAGGCCUUCGGGUUGUAAAGCACUUUCAGUGGGGAAGAAAGCCUUGGGGCUAAUACCCUCGAGGAAGGACAUCACCCACAGAAGAAGCACCGGCUAACUCCGUGCCAGCAGCCGCGGUAAUACGGAGGGUGCGAGCGUUAAUCGGAAUUACUGGGCGUAAAGCGCGCGUAGGCGGUCUGAUAAGCCGGUUGUGAAAGCCCCGGGCUCAACCUGGGAACGGCAUCCGGAACUGUCAGGCUAGAGUGCAGGAGAGGAAGGUAGAAUUCCCGGUGUAGCGGUGAAAUGCGUAGAGAUCGGGAGGAAUACCAGUGGCGACGGCGGCCUUCUGGACUGACACUGACGCUGAGGUGCGAAAGCGUGGGUAGCAAACAGGAUUAGAUACCCUUGUAGUC